rnacentral:lncRNA from 1 species
GCAGAACCAAAUUUUUAUUAUUGCAAAAAAUUGUUAAACAGAUUUACAGAAAAUUAUUGCUUUAAAGCAGAAAAUGAGUUUAUUGUUAAAAAAAAUUAUGAAACUGAUUAUUAUUGCAGAAAGUAUUAAAACUAAUUUUUUGUUGGAAAAGUAUUAAACUAUUUUUUGUUGUUAUUGCAGAAAUUUUUUUAUAGGACAAGAUUUAAGAUUUAAUUGCUAAAAAAUGCUUUAAAUAUUCUGAAAAUCAAAACUAAUUGUUGUAAAAUAAAUUAAACAUGCCAAAAACUAGUUAACACAGUAUAAGUUAAUUUGACAUGCUCGUAGUUGAUUUAAUGAAGUCAAUUAGUAAUCCUAAAACAUGGCUUCUAGGUGACAAAUAAAUCAAUUAAUAAAUUCAAGAUUAUAUUUCGUCUAAAUGAUUCAUAUAAACACAUAAUCCACAUAAUUUCCGCCCCUCGCAAGCAGUCUCAUAAUUUUAUUAUUACAUAGUAGAGGUUUAUACAAUAAUAUUACAGACCAAUGAAUAAUAGAAAAAAAAAAGACCAGGAAAAAAAAACUAGGCCGCCCCUCCCCAUAACUUCAAGGCAACACUUCAAACCCCAAGAUGCACCUAUUAAGCACAAACGCAAAACUGGAACCAAUAUAAAGAGAAAGAAACAAUGAAGCAGAGGCACAACAAACACAAGACAGAUAAAACAACAUGGUUACUUUGAUUGGAUUCUAUAGGCAUGUUUUUCUAAAGGUUUCACAAUACCAUAAAGUCACCACAUAAAUAUGAAAAUUACAUCAAUAGAAACUUGCCGAUAAGAAGCAAACAAAUAAUAAUAAGAAGACCUUAAGCAAAGCAAUUCAAAAGACGGAAUCGAAUGCUUCUUCGAAAUUCAGAAGUGUCAAAGAAACUUGAAAAUAUUUUUUAACUUUUUUUAUAGAGAAAUAAAUAUAGCUAGUAGUGAGUAAUAACAAAUGAAAGGUGUUCCAACUUGAAUGAGGGAAGAGUCUUUAUAUAGUGAAAGUAAUGAAGAAUUAAAGGAAGCAAAAAUAUUCAAAAUCAACCAAGGGAAAGUAAAAGAGGAAGAAGGGAUAUUCCCAAAAUCAAAUUAAUAAACCAAACCAAUAAAAGGGGAGGAAAAUAUUCUAAAUCACCAUAAAUUUUUACACACAAUCUAUUAAAACCAGAAAAAGGUAAGAGAGAGCCCACAUGAUUUUCUUUUUGAAUUUUUUUACCAUAAAUAGGCAACAAUGAGGCUGCCAAUUUAUUCAAAAUUUAAAUUGAGCAAAUUAACUAAUACAUAUAUUCUCAAUGACACUCAAAUCAUAUAUUUACCAUAAAUAUUCAAGUACCAAGGCUGUCAUGUAAAGGGAGAAAAUAGCCAAAGUGAAACCACCUACAACCCAUGACUUUAAUUCCAAUAAGGGGACUGAAUCAAUUAACGGAUACAACAAUAACAACUAGUUUGGCAACCAGGUUUAUCAUAUAAAAUACAAAUCAGUCGCACCUGAUAAACUCUUUACAACCAUUGAUCAAUAAGCAAGAAGAAACAAUAACCACAACAUACUCCGUGUAUUCCCACAUAGUGAGGCCUGGGAGGGUAGAGUAUACGCAGAGAGAGGUUAUUUUCGAUAGAUCCUAGCUUAGGACCGCAGUAUAACAGACACAAAACAUAAAUGCAUAUAAACUAGUACAUUAUGCAAAAUAAACUAACACUGCUAGCCAUAAAGCGAUACUACAUUCACAAGAUAAUAUUAAAAACUAUCUAUCCGAAACCAUAGACAUCACGAAUAAGAAAUUUCAGGCACAAAUAAAGAAUGCUCCCCUACUAUUACCGACACACUCUUACCCCCUAACCCUCUAUCCUACUCUGCGUCCUUCACACCUUCUUUGAAAGGGUCAAUAAGCAAGCAUAUAAAUAAAAUCAACAUCUAAUUCAAAAUUAGGGUCGGAAUCA